rnacentral:misc_RNA from 1 species
AUCCGAAAGAAAUAUCGAAUAACUAGCAAACUGGAUCGAAUCGGCGAGGGGCAAUUUGGUCAAUUCAUUCCUUCUUCCUCACCAAAUUCGGCUGCCCAUGCUCCCACCCCACCUCCAUUGCCAAACCACCAUGAAAGCUUGAUUCAAGCUUCAAAUCUCCCGCUAAACCCUAAUCUCUUCUUCAAUCAAUUGAUAAAAGCUUGUUAACUACACUAGAGAAAGAGAUUGAAGAGGAAAGAAAGAAGAAAAAGAGCAUAAACUUAGUAAUUGAAAAUCAAACCAAGGUUAGUAUGUAACUUUGAAUUCUUUUGUUAAAUUUCUAUGUUCUUAGUUAAGUUAACUUAGAUUUUAACUUAAAUCCAAACAAAAACUAUCCUUGGGUGACCAAAUAGGAAUUUCGGCCAGCUUUAUGCAGGGUUUAGAUUAAAUGAUUUUGAUGUAUUU